rnacentral:lncRNA from 1 species
UAGCCAUGGGAUCUCCAACUGCAUGCCAGAGUAACGGAGAGACUUUGACAGCCCAGGUUAUCACAGUGCCUGCUGUUGCCACUCAGCUCUCCUAUAUGUUUUUCCACUGGAGUUAUGAGCUGCCUGUCCUUCUGUCCUGUGGUAUUCAAAACAAACUUUCCUUCUGCAGUGUGCACUUGGGGGCGGUUCUUGGAAGAGUGAGGAGACAGCCUGUCAGCCUCUGCUCAUUAACCUAAGGACCAUGUGACCAGUGAGGUGGCCAUCUUGUGAUUUGGUCUGCAUUAUUUGUUGGAAAAAUGCCACAAGAAGAUCACACUGGGAUUUAGAAGUUUCUGGCUAAUACUUAGCCAGGUAGCCUUUUGUGGCCAGAUUGGUCUACAAAGAGAAACAGCAUUUUGGAAAAGUGAAAUAGCUUUGUAACCUAACAUGCAAUUGGUUCAAUAAAGACUUCAAAUUUCAAAAAAAAAAAAAAAAAAAAC